rnacentral:rRNA from 1 species
GGAUCAGCCCGCGCCCCGUAAAACGGGACGGCCCGCCCGAGGACCCCUAAACUCUGUUUUUAGUGGAACUUCUGAGUAAAACAAACAAAUAAAUCAAAACUUUCAACAACGGAUCUCUUGGUUCUGGCAUCGAUGAAGAACGCAGCAAAAUGCGAUAAGUAAUGUGAAUUGCAGAAUUCAGUGAAUCAUCGAAUCUUUGAACGCACAUUGCGCCCGCCAGUAUUCUGGCGGGCAUGCCUGUUCGAGCGUCAUUUCAACCCUCAAGCUCAGCUUGGUGUUGGGACUCGCGGUAACCCGCGUUCCCCAAAUCGAUUGGCGGUCACGUCGAGCUUCCAUAGCGUAGUAAUCAUACACCUCGUUACUGGUAAUCGUCGCGGCCACGCCGUAAAACCCCAACUUCUGAAUGUGACCUCGGAUCAGGUAGGAAUACCCG